GGACGGAUGACCGAGCGGUUUAUGGUACCAGUCUUGAAAACUGACGUACGUGCGAGCGUACCGUGGGUUCGAAUCCCACUCCGUCCUC
rnacentral:tRNA from 1 species